GACCCAACGCCAACAAGAACAUCCAUCCACAGAGUGGUACUGCACAAUGGACGGUGCAAAGGCUUUGGAUUUGUCUGAUAUUCCUCUCUGGAUGAAGACACUAAUGCCAUCAGAGAGUUGAAUGGAAAGCUGGUGAGCAGGAGGUCACUGUGAAUCACUAUGGCUGAGCAGUGGACAGGGAGCAGCCGCCCCACCAAGCCCUACCUCCAUCCAUCCAGGAACAUGCAGUGGUUCCAUCUACAGCGUCAUCGUGCUGUCGGUCUGGAUUCAUUAUUUUAUUUAUUUUAUUUCUUUCUCUUU